rnacentral:rRNA from 1 species
GGACUACACGGGUUUCUAAUCCUGUUUGCUCCCCACGCUUUCGUACCUCAGCGUCAGGAAUGGACCAAGAAGCUGCCUUCGCCAUUGGUGUUCCUCUCGAGAUCUAAGCAUUUUACCGCUACUCCGAGAAUUCCACUUCUCUCUUCCACCCUCUAGCAUGCCAGUUUCGAUUGCACUUCUCCGGUUGAGCCGGAGCCUUUAACAAUAGACUUAACACACCGCCUACGUACCCUUUACGCCCAAUCAUUCCGAAUAACGCUUGCACCCUUCGUAUUACCGCGGCGGCUGGCAC